rnacentral:rRNA from 1 species
GAUGAACGCUGGCGGCGUGCCUAAUACAUGCAAGUCGAGCGAACGGACGAGAAGCUUGCUUCUCUGAUGUUAGCGGCGGACGGGUGAGUAACACGUGGAUAACCUACCUAUAAGACUGGGAUAACUUCGGGAAACCGGAGCUAAUACCGGAUGAUAUUUUGAACCGCAUGGUUCAAAAGUGAAAGACGGUCUUGCUGUCACUUAUAGAUGGAUCCGCGCUGCAUUAGCUAGUUGGUAAGGUAACGGCUUACCAAGGCAACGAUGCAUAGCCGACCUGAGAGGGUGGUAGGCCACACUGGAACGGAGACACGGUCCAGACUCCUGCGGGAGGCAGCAGAAGGGAAUGUUCCGCAAUGGGCGAAAGCCUGACGGAGCGACGCCGCGUGAGUGAUGAAGGUCUUCGGAUCGUAAAACUCUGUUAUUAGGGAAGAACAGAUGUGUAAGGAACUGUGCACAUCUUGACGGUACCUAAUCAGAAAGCCACGGCUAACUACGUG